UUACGGCCAUAUAGCGUUGAAACACCAGUUCACAUACGAUCACCGAAAUUAAGCAACGUCGAGCCUAGUGCGUACCUAGAUUGGUAACCGCUUAGGAAUACCAGGUGCUGUAAG